GACGAACGCUGGCGGCGUGCCUAAUACAUGCGAGUAGAACGCUGAAGAGAGGAGCUUGCUCUUCUUGGAAGAGUUGCGAACGGGUGAGUAACGCGUAGGUAACCUGCCUUGUAGCGGGGGAUAACUAUUGGAAACGGUAGCUAAUACCGCAUAACAAUGGAUGACCCAUGUCAUUUAUUUGAAAGGGGCAACUGCUCCACUACAAGAUGGACCUGCGUUGUAUUAGCUAGUAGGUGAGGUAACGGCUCACCUAGGCGACGAUACAUACGCGAGCUGAGAGGGUGAUCGGCCACACUGGGACUGAGACGCGGCCCAGACUCCUACGGGAGGCAGCAGUAGGGAAUCUUCGGCAAUGGGGGCAACCCUGACUGAGCAACGCCGCGUGAGUGAAGAAGGUUUUCGGAUCGUAAAGCUCUGUUGUAAGUCAAGAACGAGUGUGAGAGUGGAAAGUUCACACUGUGACGGUAGCUUACCAGAAAGGGACGGCUAACUACGUGCCAGCAGCCGCCGCCG
rnacentral:rRNA from 1 species